rnacentral:rRNA from 1 species
GGGCCCGCACAAGCAGUGGAGUAUGUGGUUUAAUUCGAAGCAACGCGAAGAACCUUACCAGGGCUUGACAUACACAUGAAAGAUGUGGAAACACAUCCGCUUUUCGGAGCAUGUGAACAGGUGGUGCAUGGUUGUCGUCAGCUCGUGUCGUGAGAUGUUGGGUUAAGUCCCGCAACGAGCGCAACCCUUGUGAUUAGUUACUAACGAGUGAAGUCGAGGACUCUAGUCAGACUGCCGGUGAUAAAUCGGAGGAAGGUGGGGACGACGUCAAAUCAUCAUGCCCUAUAUGUCCUGGGCAACACCCACGUACUACAAUGGUCGUAACAAAGAGAAACGAAGAAGUGAUUCGGAGUGAAACUUAGAAAAGCGAUCUCAGUUCGGAUUGAAGGCUGAAAUUCGCCUUCAUGAAGUCGGAAUUGCUAGUAAUGGCAGGUCAGCAUACUG